UAUUUACAACCAAUUGUAAAAGGAGAAGGGCCGGAGGUACGUGAGGGUCAUAGUGCAUCAGUUGUUGGCAAAUGCCUCUUCAAUCUUCAUCUUUGGUGGUUUUAGAAAAUCUGCUGAUAAUGACAAUGAAGUCUACUACAAUGACCUUUACAUACUGAAUACAGAGACACUUGUUUGGACGCAUCCUACAACAUUAGGCACGCCGCCAUCUCCUCGUGCGAGCCACACUUGCUCAUCGUGGAAGAACAAAAUUAUUGUGAUAGGGGGUAUAGACGAGCGUGAUUCUUAUUUGUCUGACGUUCAUAUCCUUGACACCAAUACUCUAAUUUGGAGGGAGCUGAGUACAUCAGGCCAAUUGUUGGCCCCUCGGUCUGCUCAUUCGACAGUUUCUUUUGGCAAAAACUUGUUCGUUUUUGGUGGAUGGACAGAUGCCUCAGAUGUAUGCAGUGACAUUUAUAUGCUUGAUAUUGGUAUGUU